UACGGGAGGUGCGAGCGUUGUUCGGAAUGACUGGGCGUAAAGCGCACGUAGGCGGGCUUUUAAGUCGUAUGUGAAAUCCCCGGGCUUAACCCGGGAAUUGCAUUCGAAACUGGAAGUCUUGAAUGCUUGAGAGGUUGAUGGAAUUCUUGGUGUAGGAGUGAAAUCCGUAGAUAUCAAGAGGAACACCAGAGGCGAAGGCGGUCAACUGGCGAUGCAUUGACGCUGAGGUGCGAAAGCGUGGGUAGCAAACAGG
rnacentral:rRNA from 1 species